rnacentral:rRNA from 1 species
AUUGAACGCUGGCGGCAGGCCUAACACAUGCCAGUCGAGCGGAUGAAGGGAGCUUGCUCCUGGAUUCAGCGGCGGACGGGUGAGUAAUGCCUAGGAAUCUGCCUGGUAGUGGGGGAUAACGUCCGGAAACGGGCGCUAAUACCGCAUACGUCCUGAGGGAGAAAGUGGGGGAUCUUCGGACCUCACGCUAUCAGAUGAGCCUAGGUCGGAUUAGCUAGUUGGUGGGGUAAAGGCCUACCAAGGCGACGAUCCGUAACUGGUCUGAGAGGAUGAUCAGUCACACUGGAACUGAGACACGGUCCAGACUCCUACGGGAGGCAGCAGUGGGGAAUAUUGGACAAUGGGCGAAGGCCUGAUCCAGCCAUGCCGCGUGUGUGAAGAAGGUCUUCGGAUUGUAAAGCACUUUAAGUUGGGAGGAAGGGCAGUAAGUUAAUACCUUGCUAUUUUGACGUUACCAACAGAAUAAGCACCGGCUAACUUCGUG